CGCAGGACGAUAGGAUGGGAGCGUCAUCCCAGGCUCUCUCAAUAGGUAUAUAAGUUCGUCUAGGAUCACCGUCGAACCAUCAGACAUCGUCGGGAGCAUCUCGUCUUCUGGUGCAUCUCGCCGGACAGUAAUAUCCAAGCUACGUUCGCCAGUAUACGUUCGCAGUACACCGAACACCGUUGCUCUCCAAGGGGAGAAGAAAAAUAAUACGUGUGAUUUGUCAGUGAUCGCGAUCAAAAGGAACGAUAUGAAAACCAUCACAGUCGCGCUGUUCGCGCUAAUCGGGACCUGCUACACGGCGCGUCUCGAGAACACGUAUCUUCCCCCCGGUGGGGGUGGAGGUUCCGGAGGAGGAGGGCUGAUCCAACCACCGCACGGUGG
rnacentral:misc_RNA from 1 species